UACGGAGGGGGCUAGCGUUGUUCGGAAUUACUGGGCGUAAAGGGCGCGUAGGCGGCGCGGUAAGUCACUUGUGAAAUCUCUGAGCUUAACUCAGAACGGCCAAGUGAUACUGCAGUGCUAGAGUGCAGAAGGGGCAAUCGGAAUUCUUGGUGUAGCGGUGAAAUGCGUAGAUAUCAAGAGGAACACCUGAGGUGAAGACGGGUUGCUGGGCUGACACUGACGCUGAGUGCGCGAAAGCCAGGGGAGCAAACGGG
rnacentral:rRNA from 1 species